rnacentral:rRNA from 1 species
UACGAAGGGGGCUAGCGUUGCUCGGAAUUACUGGGCGUAAAGCGUGCGCAGGCGGCGCGUUAAGACAGGUGUGAAAGCCCCGAGCUUAACUUGGGAAUUGCGCUUGUGACUGGCGAGCUGGAGUGUGGCAGAGGGAGGUGGAAUUCCACGUGUAGCAGUGAAAUGCGUAGAGAUGUGGAGGAACACCGAUGGCGAAGGCAGCCUCCUGGGCCAGCACUGACGCUCAUGCACGAAAGCGUGGGGAGCAAACAGG